rnacentral:rRNA from 1 species
AGAGUUUGAUCCUGGCUCAGGACGAACGCUGGCGGCGUGCUUAACACAUGCAAGUCGAACGGAAAGGCCCUUUCGGGGGUACUCGAGUGGCGAACGGGUGAGUAACACGUGGGUGAUCUGCCCUGCACUUUGGGAUAAGCCUGGGAAACUGGGUCUAAUACCGAAUACACCCUGCUGGUCGCAUGGCCUGGUGGGGGAAAGCUUUUGCGGUGUGGGAUGGGCCCGCGGCCUAUCAGCUUGUUGGUGGGGUGAUGGCCUACCAAGGCGACGACGGGUAGCCGGCCUGAGAGGGUGUCCGGCCACACUGGGACUGAGAUACGGCCCAGACUCCUACGGGAGGCAGCAGUGGGGAAUAUUGCACAAUGGGCGCAAGCCUGAUGCAGCGACGCCGCGUGGGGGAUGACGGCCUUCGGGUUGUAAACCUCUUUCACCAUCGGCGAAGCCCAUGAUUUUUGUUGUGGGUGACGGUAGGUGGAGAAGAAGCACCGGCCAACUACGUGCCAGCAGCCGCGGUAAUACGUAGGGUGCGAGCGUUGUCCGGAAUUACUGGGCGUAAAGAGCUCGUAGGUGGUUUGUCGCGUUGUCCGUGAAAUUCCCUGGCUUAACUGGGGGCGUGCGGGCGAUACGGGCAGACUAGAGUACUGCAGGGGAGACUGGAAUUCCUGGUGUAGCGGUGGAAUGCGCAGAUAUCAGGAGGAACACCGGUGGCGAAGGCGGGUCUCUGGGCAGUAACUGACGCUGAGGAGCGAAAGCGUGGGGAGCGAACAGGAUUAGAUACCCUGGUAGUCC